AGUAACACGUGGGCAACCUGCCUUAUAGAGGGGAAUAGCCUUCCGAAAGGAAGAUUAAUACCGCAUAAGAUUGUAGCUUCGCAUGAAGUAGCAAUUAAAGGAGCAAUCCGCUAUAAGAUGGGCCCGCGGCGCAUUAGCUAGUUGGUGAGGUAACGGCUCACCAAGGCGACAAUGCGUAGCCGACCUGAGAGGGUGAUCGGCCACAUUGGGACUGAGACACGGCCCAGACUCCUACGGGAGGCAGCAUG
rnacentral:rRNA from 1 species